AUUAUUGUUGUGAAAUAUUAUUACAAUUUUAAAUAAAUCUAUUUUAAUAUAUUUUAAAAUAUUUUGCCGAUUUUCUCAAUUAUCAUUGGCACUCAGUUAUUAGUUCCUUUGUGUUAAAAAUGUUUUUUUGCUGCUUAAUACUUUUUGUGGAAACCGUGAUACAUUUUUUCAGGAUUCUUUGAUGAAUGAAAAGUUGAAAAGAACAGCAUUUAUUUGAAAUAUAAUUUUUUGUAACAUCAUACAUGUCUUUACUGUCACUUUUGAUUAAUUCAAUGCAUCCUUGCUGAAUAGAAGUAUUAUUUACCCCAGACUUUUGAAUAGUAUCAGUUUCAACAAAAUAUUAAGCAGCACAACUGUUUUCAACAUUGAUAAUAAGAAAUGUUUUUGUGCACCAAUUCAGCAUAUUUUUAUAAUUUCUGAAAGAAAGUGAUCAUUUUGAGUGCUGUAUCUGUAAUUACCCCAAGUAUCACUUAUUUUUUUUGUAUGAUGCCAUCCCUCUAUUUUAACCAGCACUAGUCAUUAGUUUCACAUCUUGUGGGAAACUUUAUUUAUUUCUCUUUUCUCUCUCAGGCCCACCGUCGAUCAUGUGCACAUCUUUAUCCUGCAAUCCUACUCAAAAUUCCCCUCACACAUUAUGAGUUAUCUGAUUGGCUCUGCAGCCACACACUGCGGUCCAUCAGUGUUUUUGAGGAGCCCUAGUGGGUUUCUGGGAAAGAGGAAGCAUUACUGUUUUUCUUGUCAGCCGAUGUUUACUCAACAAUGAGUGCAAUCACACGCCUCAAUGCCUCGACGAACCUCAGGACCCAGACUGCACCUUUAGCUCCCUCUCUUUCUCAUCUCUUGGUUCCUGGACCACACCUGCGUGCCAGCAGUUGAGCACCAUUGCGCUACAGCAUGACGUUUUCUUAAACUUAAGCUUGGGACAGGUGCACAGAAACCUGCGGCCGGCCAAAUGACAAGUCCCAUCAUACAAAGGUAUUAAGUAGAGAGUGGGAAUUUCUCUGCUUCUC
ensembl:lncRNA